AGAACGAACGCUGGCGGCAGGCUUAACACAUGCAAGUCGAGCGCCCCGCAAGGGGAGCGGCAGACGGGUGAGUAACGCGUGGGAACAUACCCUCCGGUUCGGAAUAGCUCAGGGAAACUUGGAUUAAUACCGGAUACGGCCUAGCGGCGAAAGAUUCAUCGCCGGAGGAUUGGCCCGCGUUCGAUUAGCUAGUUGGUGAGGUAACGGCUCACCAAGGCGACGAUCGAUAGGCUGGUCUGAGAGGAUGAUCAGCCACAUUGGGACUGAGACACGGCCCAAACUCCUACGGGAGGCAGCAGUGGGGAAUAUUGGACAAUGGGCGCAAGCCUGAUCCAGCCAUGCCGCGUGAGUGAUGACGGCCUUAGGGUUGUAAAGCUCUUUCGCUAGGGACGAUAAUGACGGUACCUAGACAAGAACGCCCGGCUAACUUCGUGCCAGCAGCCGC
rnacentral:rRNA from 1 species